rnacentral:tRNA from 1 species
AUUUUCUUAAUAUAAUAAGUAUAUUUGGCUUCCAACCAGAAAGUUUAGUCACUAAAGAAAAUA